GAUGAACGCUGGCGGCGUGCCUAAUACAUGCAAGUCGAGCGAACGGACGAGAAGCUUGCUUCUCUGAUGUUAGCGGCGGACGGGUGAGUAACACGUGGAUAACCUACCUAUAAGACUGGGAUAACUUCGGGAAACCGGAGCUAAUACCGGAUGAUAUUUUGAACCGCAUGGUUCAAAAGUGAAAGACGGUCUUGCUGUCACUUAUAGAUGGAUCCGCGCUGCAUUAGCUAGUUGGUAAGGUAAUGGCUUACCAAGGCAACGAUGCAUAGCCGACCUGAGAGGGUGAUCGGCCACACUGGAACUGAGACACGGUCCAGACUCCUACGGGAGGCAGCAGUAGGGAAUCUUCCGCAAUGGGCGAAAGCCUGACGGAGCAACGCCGCGUGAGUGGUGAAGGUCUUCGGAUCGUAAAACUCUGUUAUUAGGGAAGAACAUAUGUGUAAGUAACUGUGCACAUCUUGACGGUACCUAAUCAGAAAGCCACGGCUAACUACGUG
rnacentral:rRNA from 1 species